ACGGCAUGAUGGGGUCAUUUUCUGAUGAGAUCCUUUAAUCGUUCCCAUGAUUUAUAGAACUGCUCACCAUCUUGUUGCGAUAAGGUAGUGAGAGCUCGUCUUAUCU
rnacentral:snoRNA from 1 species